AGUUUACAGCCUCUGACAGACUGAAAAUAUCUCAGGAUCUUCUGGUGAGUAUGUGUCUUUCAUAAGCAUAAUAGCUCCAUAUAUUUGUCUGCUCCAAAUGGUAACUAUUCUGUGGUAAAGGUAAAGGUAAAGGUACCCCUGCCUGUACGGGCCAGUCUUGCCAGACUCUAGGGUUGUGCGUUCAUCUCAUUCUAGAGGCCGGGGGCCAGCGCUGUCCGCAGACACUUCCGGGUCACGUGGCCAGCGUGACAAGCUGCAUCUGGCGAGCCAGCGCAGCACACGGAACGCCGUUUACCUUCCCGCUGGUAAGCGGUCCCUAUUUAUCUACUUGCACCCGGGGGUGCUUUCGAACUGCGAGGUUGGCAGGCACUGGGACCGAACGACGGGAGCGCACCCCGCCGCGGGGAUUCGAACCGCCGACCAUGCGAUCGGCAAGUCCUAGGCGCUGAGGUUUUACCCACAGCGCCACCCGCGUCCCGCUACUAUUCUGUGGACAUAAGUAUUAUAGAGUAUAUAAACAACGUAAGCCAAAUGACAAUUUAAGAAAGCACUGAACCACAAUCAUAUACACAUUAUCUUUCAGACGGAAAUUAAGGGAAAUCUUCUAAAAUCAGUGAGACAUUAUGUUCCAUAUCCAUAUGCUCUCUGAGCUCUUCCACAUUUGAGUCAUAAAAUGACACAAGAAUGGCAGAGAGUAAGGAUGGGAUGGGUAUUAUGUAAUAGGUGUUCUUGAAACUCAUGCAACCUAAUUCCAUGCAGUACUUGUAAUAACUUGAGAAUAAGCAUGCUGACUAGAGGAAAACAUACAUUUUUCCUGAAAGCAAAAAACAAAACAAAAAACACCAGCCAGAAUGCCGAGAGAGCUUUAUGUCUGGUGCACCUUCUGCGGGAAAACAAAGUUGGAUCCCAUGUUAACACUUGAAUGACAAUGAGACAAUUAUUGUGUAAUAAAACUAAUGUGAAAUAGACUUUCUCAGCCUGUCCACAUCCCUUAUCUCCUUUUUAUUUAUUCAUUCAUUUGGGACUGAUUAAUGAGGAGGAUGUGCAGCAUUUACUGUUUCUAGCACCUGAUUAUCCUGUCACUUCACUGAGACAAAUUAUCAGCUCAGGCUUCAAUUCUGUGCAUAUGCAUCAGGGAUUAAAUCCCACUGAGUUCAAUGGGGCUGACUUCUGAGCUGACAUGCACAGAAUGCAAUAAUUGAAGCCAAUGAAAUCCAUUUCAGAUUUUAGUCAGUGUGGUGUAUAGUGGUUAGAGUGCAGGACUAGGACCUGGGAGACCAGGGUUCAAAUCUCCACUCAGCCAUGAAGCUUACCAUGGGCCAGUUAGUCUCUGUCUAACCUACCUCACAGGGCUGUUGUGAGGAUAAAUUGAGAGAGGGAGAACCCUGUAUGCCAACUUGAGCACUUGAAGAAAGGUAGGAUAUAAGUGCAGUAAAUAAAUCACUUUUGACUUUGUGCUGAAAAAAAUAAAGGGAUUUAAAGAAACUUGUUAAGAAUCAAAGAGGUUUUUAUUCAGAAUCUCCACUUAUUACAAAUCACUCACUACUUUAAAUAUGCAGUAUGUGCAGCAGUGUAAUCCUAUGCAUGUUACGGUACUUGGAAAUACAUUUCACUGUAUUCAGUGGGCCUGACAGGAAAAUGUGCAUAGCAUUGCAAUUUUUUAAAAAAUCCUUUUUGGUCCAUGAGUGAUAUAAAUCAGUCUUAUUUUCCUUUCACAGCUGGUUAAAGGAGUCUGAACAAGAUCCUGCCAAUGCCAGCAGACUAUUCACAGAGAGGUCUGAAGAACACAAGUUUUGUACAAUGCGGCAGUCAGUUGCUAAGUUGCAUUAUCUCUGUGUUUUAUGUUGGCAUCAGCAAUGCGGCUCCCUUUGAAAAGCUACCUUCUGAUCCAAGCCAAAGGGCUGUGGCCCUACACAUGUUUACACAGGCAGUUUCACAUCAGGGCAGACUGAACUCUGUAGUUUGCAGCUGGAGCCAAGUCAGCCUUUGGCAGCA
rnacentral:lncRNA from 1 species